rnacentral:rRNA from 1 species
GACGAACGCUGGCGGCGUGCCUAAUACAUGCAAGUAGAACGCUGAAGGAGGAGCUUGCUUCUCUGGAUGAGUUGCGAACGGGUGAGUAACGCGUAGGUAACCUGCCUGGUAGCGGGGGAUAACUAUUGGAAACGAUAGCUAAUACCGCAUAAUAGCAGUUGUUGCAUGAUAACUGUUUGAAAGGUGCAAUUGCACCACUACCAGAUGGACCUGCGUUGUAUUAGCUAGUUGGUGGGGUAACGGCUCACCAAGGCGACGAUACAUAGCCGACCUGAGAGGGUGAUCGGCCACACUGGGACUGGGACACGGCCCAGACUCCUACGGGAGGGAGCAGUAGGGAAUCUUCGGCAAUGGACGGAAGUCUGACCGAGCAACGCCGCGUGAGUGAAGAAGGUUUUCGGAUCGUAAAGCUCUGUUGUAGGAGAAGAACGAGUGUGAGAGUGGAAAGUUCACACUGUGACGGUAUCUUACCAGAAAGGGACGGCUAACUACGUG